UAUCCAUAUUGUGACGUCUUCCUGCAGUAGACGAAACAGACUUUGCAGUAAAGCAUACUUGUGCUACAGAUGUGAACUCCAUUUCAAACAAUCAGAAUCAUGCCAGUCAACAACACUUGGAUAAGAUCACAGAAAACUACUAGUAACAUAAAGAAAAACGUAAUGGUGAUUACUUCCCAGUUCAAAGAGACCACAAUAUAAUGUCCUCUUCUUACCAGCAGUUGGAAAGAAACCACAAUUGGGUACUAAAUAAGUGGAGUCACUGAAUCUCAUUGAUAAAUCAUAGGUUGAGAAGGCUUCAGAUUAUGUUGGACGAGAGAAAAUAAGAACCAAUCUUGAAGUUCCAUUUAAUUACACAAUCAAAAUCCACCAAAUUUGAUAUACUGACAAUCAAACCCCCAUAAACUGCAUAUUUCUUGAUCCAAGAAACCGCUUGAAAGACCAUUGAAGAUAUAAAUAAUCACAGAAAAUACCACGUGCUCCACAUACAUAACUGGAAGUAUGAAAAUGCCAGAAGUAAUAACAACAGGCAUUGAUAAAUCCUAAUAACAAGCAUUGCUUGCAACCAAAUCUCGGGAGUCUGAAAACCAUAGUUGUCGAAGAAUAAGUACCCCGCAAAACCCAUGAUAGAUUUUCUUCAUAAAGAAUGUGCUUUCAAGAGCAAUAAGAAAACCAAGAUAAAUUUCACCACAAAAAAACCCAGCAGAUUCCACUCCAAUAAGAAAACCAAUAUAAAUUGCAGCCAGAAAGACCAGUAGAUUCCAUUCCCGGAUAAAAAAUAAUACUAAGCCUGUGAGUAGCUAUCUUUCUGCAUAUUCCAG